rnacentral:rRNA from 1 species
GAGUAACACGUGGGUAACCUGCCCAUCAGAAGGGGAUAACACUUGGAAACAGGUGCUAAUACCGUAUAACAAUCGAAACCGCAUGGUUUCGUUUUGAAAGGCGCUUUACGGUGCCGCUGAUGGAUGGACCCGCGGUGCAUUAGCUAGUUGGUGAGGUAACGGCUCACCAAGGCCACGAUGCAUAGCCGACCUGAGAGGGUGAUCGGCCACAUUGGGACUGAGACACGGCCCAAACUCCUACGGGAGGCAGCAGUAGGGAAUCUUCGGCAAUGGACGAAAGUCUGACCGAGCAACGCCGCGUGAGUGAAGAAGGUUUUCGGAUCGUAAAACUCUGUUGUUAGAGAAGAACAAGGGUGAGAGUAACUGUUCACCCCUUGACGGUAUCUAACCAGAAAGCCACGGCUAACUACGUGCCAGCAGCCGCGGUAAUACGUAGGUGGCAAGCGUUGUCCGGAUUUAUUGGGCGUAAAGCGAGCGCAGGCGGUUUCUUAAGUCUGAUGUGAAAGCCCCCGGCUCAACCGGGGAGGGUCAUUGGAAACUGGGAGACUUGAGUGCAGAAGAGGAGAGUGGAAUUCCAUGUGUAGCGGUGAAAUGCGUAGAUAUAUGGAGGAACACCAGUGGCGAAGGCGGCUCUCUGGUCUGUAACUGACGCUGAGGCUCGAAAGCGUGGGGAGCAAACAGGAUUAGAUACCCUGGUAGUCCACGCCGUAAACGAUGAGUGCUAAGUGUUGGAGGGUUUCCGCCCUUCAGUGCUGCAGCUAACGCAUUAAGCACUCCGCCUGGGGAGUACGACCGCAAGGUUGAAACUCAAAGGAAUUGACGGGGGCCCGCACAAGCGGUGGAGCAUGUGGUUUAAUUCGAAGCAACGCGAAGAACCUUACCAGGUCUUGACAUCCUUUGACCACUCUAGAGAUAGAGCUUCCCCUUCGGGGGCAAAGUGACAGGUGGUGCAUGGUUGUCGUCAGCUCGUGUCGUGAGAUGUUGGGUUAAGUCCCGCAACGAGCGCAACCCUUAUUGUUAGUUGCCAUCAUUUAGUUGGGCACUCUAGCAAGACUGCCGGUGACAAACCGGAGGAAGGUGGGGAUGACGUCAAAUCAUCAUGCCCCUUAUGACCUGGGCUACACACGUGCUACAAUGGGAAGUACAACGAGUCGCGAAGUCGCGAGGCUAAGCUAAUCUCUUAAAGCUUCUCUCAGUUCGGAUUGUAGGCUGCAACUCGCCUACAUGAAGCCGGAAUCGCUAGU